rnacentral:rRNA from 1 species
ACUAACAAGGAUUCCCCUAGUAACUGCGAGUGAAGCGGGAAAAGCUCAAAUUUAAAAUCUGAGGGUCUCUGUGGCCUUCCGAGUUGUAAUCUAGAGAAGUGUUAUCCGCGCUGGACCGUGUACAAGUCUCCUGGAACGGAGCGUCAUAGAGGGUGAGAAUCCCGUCUUUGACACGGACUACCAGGGCUUAUGUGAUGCGCUCUCAAAGAGUCGAGUUGUUUGGGAAUGCAGCUCUAAAUGGGUGGUAAAUUCCAUCUAAAGCUAAAUAUUGGCGAGAGACCGAUAGCGAACAAGUACCGUGAGGGAAAGAUGAAAAGAACUUUGGAAAGAGAGUUAAACAGUACGUGAAAUUGUUGAAAGGGAAACGCUUGAAGUCAGUCGCGUUGUCCAGAAAUCAACCCUUGCUUUUGCUUGGUGCACUUUCUGGUUAACGGGUCAGCAUCAAUUUUGACCGGUGGAUAAAGGUCAGGGGAAUGUGGCAUCUUCGGAUGUGUUAUAGCCCUUGGUUGCAUACAUCGGUUGGGAUUGAGGAACUCAGCACGCCGCAAGGCCGGGUUUUUACCACGUACGUGCUUAGGAUGUUGGCAUAAUGGCUUUAAUCGACCCGUCUUGAAACACGGACCAAGGAGUCUAACAUGCACGCGAGUGUUUGGGUGGAAAACCCGAGCGCGUAAUGAAAGUGAAAAUUGAGAUCCCUGUCGUGGGGAGCAUCAAUGCCCGGACCAGACCUUUUGUGACGGAUCCGCGGUUGAGCGUGUAUGCUGGGACCCGAAAGAUGGUGAACUAUGCCUGAAUAGGGUGAAGCCAGAGGAAACUCUGGUGGAGGCUCGUAGCGAUUCUGACGUGCAAAUCGAUCGUCAAAUUUGGGUAUAGGGGCGAAAGACUAAUCGAA